UCCUAGCUGGUUCUAUCUAGUGGGGGGCCUGGUCUUGGCUUCCAAAAUGGCACCUUAAGUGCUAUGUCCUCGGGUGGCAGGAGGAAUGACAGGAAUAGACUGGACUCCCUCUCAAGUCCUAAUCCCACCCACAAGGACACCUCUCUAAUGACCUAGUCUCCUCCUUGGGGCCCCACCUCUUCAUACUGUCACAUGGCCAAAUGAGCACAGCUGACAGUGAUCGGGAAUGCUGGCCUAGACAACACCAGGCCAGAAAGAAGGGAGGACACCUUCAAGCACCCCCUCCCCUAAUUGUAGUGGGUAGCCAUUCCAGCUUUGACCUGGAAGUACCACCCCCUUUGAGGUUCGGUAACUAUCACGCCUACAAGGCGGGGCUGAGAGAGAACCCCUGAAGACCAGCUCUCUUGGUUCCUGGAUCCUGGACACUGGAGGUAGACUGAGCAGAGUUCUCCAGAGAACACCGCCGGACUGCGCCACACCUUUCCCAGACCCUGUAACCUAUCCCUUCACUUGUAAGUUAUCCCACAAAAUAAACCUCCCUUUUAACUA